rnacentral:rRNA from 1 species
CAGUCGCCGCGGGAAUACAGAGGGUGCAAGCGUUAAUCGGAAUUACUGGGCGUAAAGCGCGCGUAGGUGGUUUGUUAAGUUGGAUGUGAAAUCCCCGGGCUCAACCUGGGAACUGCAUCCAAAACUGGCAAGCUAGAGUAUGGUAGAGGGUGGUGGAAUUUCCUGUGUAGCGGUGAAAUGCGUAGAUAUAGGAAGGAACACCAGUGGCGAAGGCGACCACCUGGGCUCAUACUGACACUGAGGUGCGAAAGCGUGGGGAGCAAACAGGAUUAGAUACCCCAGUAGUCCCUGUCUCUUAUAC